rnacentral:tRNA from 1 species
GCCGAAGUGGUGCAACUGGUAGACACGGCGCACUUAAAACGCGCUUUUCUUGAGAGUUCAAAUCUCUCCUUCGGCA